rfam:Polynucleobacter asymbioticus QLW-P1DMWA-1, complete sequence
GGUGGACUUCUCACUUUAAAGGCUAAUUGGCUAAGGGUUCAAGGGCUUGCGGACCAAAACUGGUAUCAUUGGAAGGUUCGAAACUUAAUAAAUACCCUAGCGCUUAAAGACACUCACCUCCCGCAUAAACAAGCCUCGGGUUAGUAUUUUUGGGGGUUUUGAGCGUCGGAUGGAGCAGGGACUGGAGAUGGUUUGUCACCC